rnacentral:rRNA from 1 species
UGGGGAAUAUUGGACAAUGGGCGAAAGCCUGAUCCAGCCAUGCCGCGUGUGUGAAGAAGGUCUUCGGAUUGUAAAGCACUUUAAGUUGGGAGUAAGGGCAGUAAGCGAAUACCUUGCUGUUUUGACGUUACCGACAGAAUAAGCACCGGCUAACUCUGUGCCAGCAUCCGCUGUAAUACAGAGGGUGCAAGCGUUAAUCGGAAUUACUGGGCGUAAAGCGCGCGUAGGUGGUUCGUUAAGUUGAAUGUGAAAGCCCCGGGCUCAACCUGGGAACUGCAUCCAAAACUGGCGAGCUAGAGUAGGGCAGAGGGUGGUGGAAUUUCCUGUGUAGCGGUGAAAUGCGUAGCUAUAGGAAGGAACACCAGUGGCGAAAGCGACCACCUGGGCUCAUACUGACACUGAGGUGUGAAAGCGUGGGGAGCAAACAGG